rnacentral:tRNA from 1 species
CGCGACUAGCUCAUGGGUAGAGCAUUAGGCUGCGAACCUAAGGGUAGUGGGUUCGACUCCCACGUCACGACCA